rnacentral:rRNA from 1 species
UACGAAGGGGGCGAGCGUUGUUCGGAUUUACUGGGCGUAAAGCGUGCGCAGGCGGUGAUGUAAGACAGGUGUGAAAUCCCCGGGCUUAACCUGGGAACUGCAUUGGUGACUGGCAGGCUUUGAGUGUGGCAGAGGGGGGUAGAAUUCCACGUGUAGCAGUGAAAUGCGUAGAGAUGUGGAGGAAUACCGAUGGCGAAGGCAGCCCCCUGGGCCAACACUGACGCUCAUGCACGAAAGCGUGGGGAGCAAACAGG